rnacentral:lncRNA from 10 species
ACAAAACAACAAAAACCGUGGGAGCUCAAUUCACUAUGCCAAAAGGAAAAAAUUAAGCAAAAAGCUGAGUCAUGCAAGAAACUGCCUUUCUCUAUGUCCCUAAGCAGAUAGCUACAGAUAAAAGGUUAAAUGUCCCCACAGGUAGCUGCUCUGUCCUCACCUUAUCUUACUGAAGUGCUGAUUUACACAGCAGGAGGCAAAUACAUAAUUGACUAUUCCCCUGCCUGUUCCUUUUUCUAUUUGUGCAAUGUGUGGAUUCAGUAAUGACCAUGUUCUCCCUCUUUCCCCUCCAGCCCGCUCCUCCCUUUUAAAUAUUGAAGCCCUCAAAAUCAUCUUUAGAUAAAGGCACAGACCUCCCUCCCAAGCAUGUCCUUAACCUUGGCAAAAUAAACUUCCAAAUUGAUUGAGAGCUGGUUUUGGUUUACAAGCUGGCAGCCAAAGGAAGUGACUCAGUGGAGGUGGCCCUGACCUUUGACAAAUCUAUCAGUGCUUGGUACCAGCUUGGGCUAUUUUUAUUGCUCAAACAGGACAAUUUGCUGAGGCCUGGGAGCACCCCACUCCAGAGAAUCCCUGAUGUCCCAAAAUUUGGUUGAGAUCUAAAGUUUAUUUUGCUGUACACCUCUUUGUCUGCAGUUUUACUUACUCCCAACAAAGAAGGUGCGUUUUCCUGCCUCCAUGACGAUGGAGGGGAGGCAACUCCUUUCUGGAAUUUCAUCUGGCUUCCAGCAGGGAAGCAAGAUUAAGAAGACCCCCAGGAGCAGAAGCCCUCGCCGCAGCACCAGCUGUUUCCUGGACAAUUUAGCGCCGUCCUGUGGAUGUUCCGGCAAAGGUUCUUCUUGGCGCAUCUGCUGAUCUGACUGAGGCUCGCCUGUCUUUCCAACAUCAGUUCCUGCCAGACCUUGGACCUUAACUUGCUUCUGACACAGACUUUGCUAGAAGCUUCCAGAGCAGGGCUGAGCACCUACAGAUGACUGGAGAACACCAAAGGCAGGCCAGGUGGGAAUGGAUGGCGGGAAAAGCCCUGUGAAUCUCAAGGCACCACACAGGGCACAGAGGGAGACCCCAGGUGAGGAGGGUUUUUUGGUCAACAGUAAACUAAUGGCAGAACCAAAAGCUCCAACAAUAACCAAGAGACAAAGUCCUGACCGUAAUAAAAACAGACCUCUGCCUCACAACCUGCAGCACCCUGCCCAAGAAACCCCACCCCAUCUACAAUAAACCCAGGAAGCCAGCCUUCCCUAAAUCAGACUUGCAGGAAGCAAGAUCGCUGCCUUUGGUAACAAUCCAGGAAGCUAACCAGUAACUUCUGUAACGAUUGGCCCCAGAUGGCCAGGACUUGAUUAGCAACUGACAGCUUGCCUAAUUUUGGUCUGCACUUCCAACUUAGGACCAACCAGAGAAAGUAAAAUACAUCCCCCUAACCAAUCACAUGGGAGGCCCAUUUCUAGUCAGCCACCUCCAGCAUCCCCCAGAUCAACAAUCUCCACUCAGGACACACCUGCAGCCUCCCCUUUUAUCCACUGUGACGCUUUCCCACUCCUUUGCCUGCCUUUGAGUUUCUGCCCAAAUGCAAGUGGUGGCAGCCAACACCCUUGCUGAGAAUACACAGACUUUGCUUGUCUUGCUUGGUUGGUCCUGGUUUAUUUCCACAGCUGUCCAGAUCUAUGUAAGGGUUAAGGUGGCUAGUCUGGGUUCCUGGUUUAUGGAUUCGGUACAGGUUUUACAGCUCUGUUUCUUGGUACCAAUCACAUUUUUCAGGUAUGAUCAGCCUGCCCUUUUGUUUGUUUGUUUGCUUUUUAGAGUCAGGGUCUUGCUCUGUUGCCCAGGCUGGAGAGCAGUGGCAUGACCACAGCUCACUACAGCCUCCAACUCCUAGAGUCAAGUGAUCCUCCUGCCUUGGCUUCCAAAGCACUAGGAUUAUAGGUAUGAGUCACUACGCCCAGCCUAGCCUGCUCUUAGAAUAGUAUAGUUGGUGCCACCU